CUCACUUUCUUACCCGCACAUAUUUUACUUGAAAAUGACUCCACCACCACUAUCGUUAUCAACGAUGAUGAUACUAUCUCUAAAUUCUUCGACCACAAAUAUCAUCAGGUUGUUGGUUCCUGCAAUGGAUUAUGCUGCUUCGUGCAAGAGUAUUCCAACUCUGAGUAUCGAGAAUUCUCUCUCUGUUUCUGUAACCCAGCCACACGGUCAUUGUCUCAUAAACUAGGUUAUUUUCGCAUUCCACCUAAGCUUCCUGAUUCUCUUUUCAAAUUUUCAUUUGGUUAUGAUAUUUUAACCUCCAAAUAUAAGGUGGUGGCUUUCAGUUCUAGCGAGGUCAGGAUGGUGGUCUCUACUUGAGGAAUUGUCUUAUUUGGUUAGCCGGUGGUACUAGAGCUGUUAACGGUAGUUCAAGGUAUGAAUAAUUUGUGAUUAUAUCUCUCAAUUUGGGGACGGAGACAUACAAAGAGUUGUUGCCCCCUCAGGGUUUUAAUGGAAAGUUUCUAUAUAUUCCAAAUGUUUGUGUGUUGAUGGACUGUCUUUGCAUUUCUCAUCAUUCAAAUGGGAAUAAUAUUGCUAUAUGGCAUAUGAGAGAUUUCGGAGUUGAAGAGUCUUGGACUAAAUUGUUUAACUUUAGUUAUCCUUAUCCCGAUUUUUUUCAGGACCCUUCUCUUACUUGGGAUAUUUCCUGUUGUGGCCGUUACAUGUUCUUGAGAAUGCUAAUACAUUGAUAUUGGCAAAUGGUGAAGGACUAGUAAUUCGCUAUAAUAGUAUUGUUAAAAUUGAUUAAGCAUUGAAGAAUCACAUUCAUACUUGA